UACGGAGGGUGCAAGCGUUAAUCGGAAUUACUGGGCGUAAAGCGUGCGCAGGCGGUUUGUUAAGUCUGUUGUGAAAUCCCCGAGCUCAACUUGGGAAUUGCAAUGGAUACUGGCAGGCUGGAGUAUGGUAGAGGAAGGUGGAAUUCCCGGUGUAGCAGUGAAAUGCGUAGAUAUCUGGAGGAACACCGGUGGCGAAGGCGGCAUCCUGGACCACGACUGACGCUGAGUGAGCGAAAGCCAGGGGAGCAAACGGG
rnacentral:rRNA from 1 species